CUGAACUUCUGAAGCAAAGAAUUCCAAACUGAGGUCCGGGCUUCCAAUUGGAGCCUUGAAGAGGCUAGUCCAUGGCCGAGGUUCAUUGGAAAUAAGAGCAGGAGGCCGCGAUCUAGAGCGCGACCUACUUUGAUGCUGCUUCGUCAAAGGAACAUCUCGCCGAAAAGAAGGUAUUGGACGAGCAACUUGAGAAGGGAGCCUCACCGUCGAAUCUACCCUCUCGCCACCAUCACCAGAC
rnacentral:lncRNA from 1 species